AGGGAUUUAGCUCAGUGGCACAGCACCUGUCUGGCAAGCAUGAGAUCCUGCAUUUGAUUUCCAGUAUCCCCC
rnacentral:tRNA from 1 species